AGAGUUUGAUCAUGGCUUAAAUUGAACGCUGGCGGCAUGCUUUACACAUGCAAGUCGAACGGCAGCGUGGUAGUGCUUGCACUACUGACGGCGAGUGGCGAACGGGUGAGUAAUGCAUCGGAAUGUACCGAGUAAUGGGGGAUAACUAAUCGAAAGAUUAGCUAAUACCGCAUACGACCUGAGGGUGAAAGCAGGGGAUCUUAGGACCUUGCGUUAUUCGAGCAGCCGAUGUCGGAUUAGGUAGUUGGUGGGGUAAAGGCCUACCAAGCCGACGAUCCGUAGCGGGUCUGAGAGGAUGAUCCGCCACAUUGGGACUGAGACACGGCCCAAACUCCUACGGGAGGCAGCAGUGGGGAAUUUUGGACAAUGUGUGUAUCCCUGAUCCAGCCAUGCCGCGUGUCUGAAGAAGGCCUUCGGGUUGUAAAGGACUUUUGUACGGGAAGAAAAGGGAAGUGAUAAUACCACUUUCUGCUGACGGUACCGUAAGAAUAAGCACCGGCUAACUACGUGCCAGCAGCCGCGGUAAUACGUAGGGUGCGAGCGUUAAUCGGAAUUACUGGGCGUAAAGCGAGCGCAGACGGUUGAUUAAGCCAGAUGUGAAAUCCCCGAGCUUAACUUGGGACGUGCAUUUGGAACUGGUCAGCUAGAGUGUGUCAGAGGGAGGUAGAAUUCCACGUGUAGCAGUGAAAUGCGUAGAGAUGUGGAGGAAUAACGAUGGCGAAGGCAGCCUCCUGGGAUAACACUGACGUUCAUGCUCGAAAGCCGGGGUAGCAAACAGGAUUAGAUACCCGGAUUGCCCACGAACUAAGCCAAGACAAGGUGCUUUGAAUACUCAGUAGACUAGCUAGCGUAGCUAACGCGUGAAAUUGUCCGCCUGGGGAGUACGGUCGCAAGAUUAAAACUCAAAGGAAUUGACGGGGGCCCGCACAAGCAGUGGAGUAUGUGGUUUAAUUCGAAGCAACGCGAAGAACCUUACCAGGUCUUGACAUCCAACUAACGAAGUAGAGAUACAUCAGGUGCCCUUCGGGGAAAGUUGAGACAGGUGGUGCAUGGUUGUCGUCAGCUCGUGUCGUGAGAUGUUGGGUUAAGUCCCGCAACGAGCGCAACCCUUGCUAUUAGUUGCUACGCAAGAGCACUCUAAUAGGACUGCCGUUGACAAAACGGAGGAAGGUGGGGACGACGUCAAAUCAUCAUGCCCCUUAUGACCUGGGCUACACACGUACUACAAUGGCCAUCAACAGAGGGAAGCAAAACAGCGAUGUGGAGCAAACCCCUAAAAAUGGUCUCAGUUCAGAUUGCAGGCUGCAACCCGCCUGCAUGAAGUCGGAAUUGCUAGUAAUCGCGGAUCAGCAUGCCGCGGUGAAUACGUUCCCGGGCCUUGUACACACCGCCCGUCACACCAUGGGAGCCGGUAAUACCCGAAGUCAGUAGUCUAACGCAAGAGGACGCUGCCGAAGGUAGGAUUGGCGACUGGGGUGAAGUCGUAACAAGGUAACCGUA
rnacentral:rRNA from 1 species